rnacentral:rRNA from 1 species
CCUACGGGUGGCAGCAGUGAGGAAUCUUGGUCAAUGGGCGGGAGCCUGAACCAGCCAAGCCGCGUGAAGGAAGAAGGUACUUAGUAUUGUAAACUUCUUUUGUCGGGGAACAAAGGCGGAGACGCGUCUCCGCAUGAGUGUACCCUAAGAAAAAGCAUCGGCUAACCCCGUUCCAGCAGCCGCGGUAAUACGGAGGAUGCGAGCUUUAUCCGGAUUUAUUGGGUUUAAGGGGUGCGCAGGCGGGAGAUCAAGUCAGCGGUAAAAUGUCGGGGCUCAACCACGGCCGGCCGUUGAAACUGGUUUUCUAGAGUGGGAGAGAGGUAUGCGGAAUUCGUGGUGUAGCGGUGAAAUGCAUAGAUAUCACGAAGAACUCCGAUUGCGAAGGCAGCAUACCGGCUCCAUACUGACGCUGAGGCACGAAAGCGUGGGGAGCGAACAGGAUUAGAUACCCGUGUAGUC